rnacentral:rRNA from 1 species
AUGGAGCAAGCGGCGGCUGAAGGAGAACCAGGCGGCGAGGCGGCCGAGGGCGGGCAAGGCGGGGCGGCCGAGGGCGGGCAAGGCGGGGCGGCAGAGGGCAGGCAAGGCGGGGCGGAAGAGGGCAGGCCUGGAGGCGCGGAGGGCGGACCUGGAGGCGUAGAGGGUGGACCUGGAGGCGCGGAGGGCGAGCAACGCACCGAUUUGGGCUGGUCGGCUUGGGCAGAUUGGCAAGAAGGGAUGGAUCCAGAAAAGGUAGUGCAUAUGUUGAUUGCAUACUGUGAUCCCUCCAAAGAAGUAUAUGAGCCUAUCGCCGAGGAUUGGACAGAUGUUCAAGCAGACAACAACACAAAAGAGGCCGAUGAUAGUUAUCUUUGCAACCCAAUCCCGCAGAAUGAGCAUGUUGGUAUUGAUGAGGAGAAAAUGUAUUUGGAGAAAGAACCUAUACCUCCAAAAUUGGUUCUUUUUUCUGGUAAAGAGAAAGACAAAACCAAUGUUUCUGAGGAUGAGAGCGAGGAUGGGAGCAAGGAUGGGAGCGAGGAUGGGAGCGAGGAGGAGCCUGAAGUAGAGGAGGAGGAGUUGCAUGAGCUAGAUCAUGCCCCAAAUAUAGAGUAUGACCAACAAGACCCUCCAAUGACUGUAGGAUCCACAUAUCCCAAUAUGGAGGUGUUUAAGUUGGCUCUUUCUCAGCAUGCAGUCAAACGUGACUUUGAGUAUAACACAGAGAAGAGCACACAACGUAGGUUAAGGGCCUAUUGUAAAAGAAGAGAUGAAGAUGAUUGCCCAUGGAGGAUACAUGCUUCUACAACAGCUGAUAGGCGCACUGUAAUGGUGAAAAAGAAACCUUUUGAGCAUGAUUGUUCUAGUACGAAAAGGAAAAAGAAAGUGAAGAACGCAACUAAGCUCUGGAUAUGUGAGAAGGUGAAAGAUUGGCUCAUUGAAGAUGCAACUCUAGGAGCAAUGGAAUUGCGAAAAAAGCUGAAAGAACACUACAAGAUCAAAAUCCACUACAAGAGAGUCUAUAUGGGUAAGCUGCUAGCCUUGAAGCAACUAUACGGUGAUUGGGAUAGUAGUUUUAACAACUUGUAUAGGUUUAAAGCACAAGUUGAAAGUUGCUGCCCUAAUAGCAUAGUGCAGAUCGACCAUCAUACCAUAAAUGGUAAAAAAAGGUUUAGAAGAAUUUUUGUUGCUCUCAAACCUUGCAUAGAUGGAUUUCUUAGUGGUUGCAGACCAUAUUUGGCUGUGGACAGCACCUUUAUGACAGGCAGAUUCAAGGGGCAAUUGGCUAGUGCUACUGCAGUGGAUGGCCAUAAUUGGAUGUAUCCAAUUUGCUUUGGAAUUUUUGACUCUGAAACAAAUGAAAAUUGGAUCUGGUUCAUGCAGUUGCUAAGACAGGCAAUAGGAUCACCAACAGGUUUAGCCAUAUGCACUGAUGCUGGCCAAGCAGUGAUGACAGGGGUAAAAGAAGUCUUCCCGGAGGCAGAACAUAGAGAAUGUAUGUUCCACUUGGUGAGCAACUUCAAGAAGAAGUUUACUGGAAAAAUAUUUGACGACCACCUAUGGUCAGCUGCUUACUCAUGGAACCCAUAUAUAUUUGACAAGAAUUGGGCUGCAAUGGAGGCAGUAAAGCCAGCCGCAACAGCAUAUAUUAGGAAGUGGCACAAUAGGUUGUGGUCUAGGAGUCAGUUCUCGACCAUAUGCAAGGUGGACUAUGUAACCAACAACUUGGCAGAGUGCUUUAACAAUUGGAUCAAGCACCACAAGUCAUUGAACUUGGACGAUUUCUUGGACAAGGCAAGGCAGUUGAUUAUGAUCUUGUGGAAUGAUAGGAGAAAAGUAGCAAAGAAGUUAGAUGGAUUGAUUCUACCCCACAUAAUGAAGAAGUUAAAUGCAUUGACUAGAGAAUUCAACUUGGAGGUGGUAGAAUGCUCAGAAGAAGUGGCUGAAGUGGUUGCAUUAGGAGGCAACGGUUUUUAG